rnacentral:tRNA from 2 species
GGGCCGUUAGCUCAGUCAGGUAGAGCAGGGGCCUUUUAAGCCCUUGGCCGCAGGUUCAAAUCCUGCACGGCUCACCA